UGUGGGAGCGAGAUUAAGGCUU
rnacentral:miRNA from 11 species